GAUGAACGCUGGCGGCGUGCCUAAUACAUGCAAGUCGAGCGAACAGACGAGGAGCUUGCUCCUCUGACGUUAGCGGCGGACGGGUGAGUAACACGUGGAUAACCUACCUAUAAGACUGGGAUAACUUCGGGAAACCGGAGCUAAUACCGGAUAAUAUAUUGAACCGCAUGGUUCAAUAGUGAAAGACGGUUUUGCUGUCACUUAUAGAUGGAUCCGCGCCGCAUUAGCUAGUUGGUAAGGUAACGGCUUACAAAGGCAACGAUGCGUAGCCGACCUGAGAGGGUGAUCGGCCCCACUGGAACUGAGACACGGUCCAGACUCCUACGGGAGGCAGCAGUAGGGAAUCUUCCGCAAUGGGCGAAAGCCUGACGGAGCAACGCCGCGUGAGUGAUGAAGGUCUUCGGAUCGUAAAACUCUGUUAUUAGGGAAGAACAAAUGUGUAAGUAACUAUGCACGUCUUGACGGUACCUAAUCAGAAAGCCACGGCUAACUACGUG
rnacentral:rRNA from 1 species